ACAGGGAAAUACAUUUUUAAAAACGUUUAAAAUGUUGAUAUAUUAAACACUUUUUGUAGAUUGAGAACACACUAUUUUAUACAAGACAGCUUUGGUUCCCUGUGCCAUUUCUUUAAUUCUGAAGUCCAUUUCUGGACAGAAAAGCCGCUAUUUAUUUAUUCAAAUGCAAUUUUUCAAUGCUGUGAGCACCACAGACAAAAUUCCCUUCAUCUCCAUUUUAUCGGGGUAACGAGACGGGUGAGGGGGGCUGAUGGUAAUGUUAGCUUAGUGACUGGGAUGUAACAACAGAGGGAAUACAGGGGAUACAUUAAAAAAAAUCCAAAUCCACAACUCACGCCGUAACUGCAUUUGAAAUGGUUAGAAGCAGAAUCAGUUUACCCAGAGUUUAUGCCAGUAAGAGAGAAUGCAACAAAUACACCCAUUAUAGCACCCAUCUGUAAAACUAGGGUCUAGCAUCUUGGUUGAUUAUCGCAGCCAACCACGACUUAUGUUUAAUCCCUGAUCUUGUUUACUUAUCUUUGGUGCGCCAAUCAUAAAUCCAUAGACUGAUGACAAAACUGUGGCCCCAGGUAAUGGUAAGCUCCCAGCUUCAACACUGGAUCAGCUGCAGCAUUAAUGAACACAUUGUCAGCCCACAGGACACCAGAUGCCCCAAGUGCAACCAGAACUUCCGGGGGCCGGUCCAGAAUAAGUGACUCUGCAGAUCAGCAGUGUCCCGCUGUCCAUCUCCUCUCCUCUAUCAAACUGCCCACAUUGUACUGAUUCACAUAUAAUUGGACCUAAUCUAUAAGCAUUCACAUUGUUUGAAUCAGUAAGUGUAUAUAAGUGCUGUGUUGUUUAAACCUCUAUAUACUGUAAUAAAUCAGCUGUAAGGAGAAACUAUUCUUUGAUUCUGAUUUUUAUAUAUAAACCCAAAUAUAUUAAGACAGUUUAAGAAAUUGAAUUCAGGUUGCUGUCACUGACAUUACAGUCACUUGUAUUACAAACACUAAACUAUACAAAUACCACAGUGUUCACUUAUUGUCAGUUAAGUACAACAUUUGAGCAUCAGUAUGGUGCUUUAAAAUACUGAACACACAGCCUUCCUGUCCGUCUCAUAUCUGAGAUUGGACUUUGGUUCAAUAUUUUCAGCAAAUAGAAAAUCGCUAGUUGUUGACUCUUGUGCAUUUAAAUCUGUAAGUAAUAGUAGCAUUGAAAUAGUAUAAACAUAUAUAAUAUUCUUCCUUUCUGGUGUACCUUAGUUUUACCUUAGAUAUCUAUAAUUUUGAUUACUAAAAGCAUCUAUCUUCUGAUCCUGCUACAUUAACAGUAAUCUUUAAUCCUAAAUAUUGUGUUCAAUAUAUUGGUCGUGUACAAUAAAAUAUUACAUUUGUGGUUUUGGAGCACAACAACGAUGCUGAGGAAGGUCAACAGGAUGCAUCAUGUGCACCACAGGUAUCAUAUGCUGACACUGUAAAGAGAGGACUUCACAUUGAUGAUGUUUAAGAUUACAAUAAUUGUUAAUUCAUUUUAGUUUUGAAAAUGAAAAAAAAUUAUUUGUAUAAUGAAUGUAUCUUUUGCACAGAAAGUCACCUGGGAUACAAGGGGGUUCAUUAGCACAGAACAUGCCAGUGAAGUUUUACAUCGUAAUUAACUAGAUAUAUCAAGACAGCUGUGCAUAUAUAUUUUGUGUUCGUUGCUAAUGUGUUAGCUUGCUACAGUCUGUUGGCUAACGUUUGUUGUUGUGCCGUUUGAACAAGUAACGUUGCCAUUAAGGAAAGUAAGGCUCUUCUUUAACAGGUGCUUCAAGACAAUGCUGCGGGCAUUUAAUGUGAGAAGGAAGGUAGUUAGCUAAAGGUCGAGGAGGUUCCGUUUGCAUUCCGUGUAACAUGUUCACGUCUGCUGGAAAAUAAACCAAGUGACAAGGAAAGUAACAGUAGUAGGCUAAUAAUACAAUCUUCAAAUCUAAAAAGGGGACAGUAGUGAACUGUCAACACAGCAAAAUAUGCGCAGGCUUAUGUUUUUAUGAUGGGGGAACAUUUGUUUACAUACACCUCUUUCAUGAGCUGCUAAAUUAGCAUGUUCCGUGCUAAUUAGCCACCUGGUGACUCCAGCAUACUACAGAUGGACAAAGUAACCAGAACGUGCUAGAACCUUUUGCCCCCUGAUUGGACAGUUUGACGUACAACGUGCUGAUUGGCUAGUCAGCACAGGCGUUAAAACAUGGCCAACAUUUGUGCUUGUAAUUCGUAGCUUGUAACUUCAGUGUCACAUACAAAGAUAGGACAUUUGAGUGUCCGUCUCGCAGACUGUGUGAAACCUCACUGUUGAAAAUAUUCCUGCACAUAUUUUAAUUACACAUACACAAAAUAUUUUUACAGCUGCAAACUUUUUUUUUUUUUUUUUUUUUACACAUGUGCAAAUGA